GAAAAACUUCUAAGGGUUCUAGUUGGGAGUUUGUAGAAUGAUAUAAGUAGCAUUGGCAAUUUUUAGGAUUAGUAUUAGGAAUCACAUCGUCUGAAACAGGAAAAAAAAAGAAUGAAACUUCUCCACCAGUGAUACCACAAAACAGCCAACUCCAAGCGUCCAAAAAUGCAGAGUAAGGAUGUGAAAAGGGAAGUGAUAAAACGUGAUAGGGGGCAUCACUUGACGGCCGCAUAG